AUACGGAGGGUGCAAGCGUUAUCCGGAUUUAUUGGGUUUAAAGGGUGCGUAGGCGGUUAUAUAAGUCAGCGGUGAAAUUUUUCAGCUUAACUGGAAACAUGCCGUUGAUACUGUAUAGCUUGAAUAUGGUUGCUGUGAGUGGAAUGUGUAGUGUAGCGGUGAAAUGCUUAGAUAUUACACAGAAUAUCGAUUGCGAAGGCAACUCACAAAGCCAUUAUUGACGCUGAUGCACGAAAGUGUGGGGAUC
rnacentral:rRNA from 1 species